rnacentral:rRNA from 1 species
UACGUAGGUGGCAAGCGUUGUCCGGAAUCACUGGGCGUAAAGCGCGCGCAGGCGGCGAUCUACGUCUGGGGUGAAAGCCCGGAGCCUCAACUCCGGGACUGCCUUGGAUACGGGAUCGCUUGAGGAUUGGAGAGGCAAGGGGAAUUCACGUGUAGCGGUGAAAUGCGUAGAGAUGUGGAGGAACACCUGUGGCGAAGGCGCCUUGCUGGCCAAUUACUGACGCUGAGGCGCGAAAGCGUGGGGAGCAAACAGG